ensembl:lncRNA
CAGUUUCUGUUCUAAAUCAAGCAUGAGCUGUACCAGCUGUAGCAGGUAUUUGCAUGCCAGAUGAAUCUCCCAAACGUUUCUGUGCUGACCUUUGGCUCAUUCUGUAGCUUGACUGUUGCCAGUUCCUUAGCUGGGUCUGGGCUAUACCCACAACGGAUCACCUUGCUUGAAGAAGUUUUCAUGGAAAGACCAGCCAAUACGCACCAAAGACUUUAGGGUGAGUUUAGUCUUUUUCAAUGGCCCCAUGCACAUCUUCUGCAAUCUUCGUCACACAACAAUAGGUGACUGGUCUCUCAAGGACUGCAUGAUUCGUGGUAGUGUUUGUUUAAUUGAAUGUAGCUCCUCUUUUACUGCCUGAGAGGCCAGCUGAUCUUUUACAAAAGGGUAAACAUAUUCCUAAACAAAGGAAGUCAUUUUAAAAGAAGAAAAGAUCUGUCUGCAGGUAUGUGAGUACGGAGAAAAGAAAUGCGAAGGGCAGAGAAAAACAGUGGAAAUGGGGGGGUUAAAGGUUUAAAGUUAAAAAUCUGAAAAGAAAGGCCAUGUGGCAUCAGAGGCAGCAUAUCCAGAAGCAAGGAGACAUAACGGGAAGAAAUACAGGAAAGAGAGGUAGCACAUACAAAACAAGGCACAGGAAAGUUAUGAAAACAAACCUGCAGUUUGCAGAAUGAUUGCGAGACUGCUGUGUCGUACAGCCGCCAGUAGAGGUGCUAAAGCCACAGCUAUAGAACUUAGUGGCAAAGUGCUCAGGGGAAGAAAUAAAUCCUGAACUGAGAUAGAUUGAACGUUUCAAGAAAUGAACAGUGGUGCAAUGCAGCUCUUUGAGGGUAAUCAGCGCAGACGUGAAUUUUUAAACUUCUCUGUAGGUGAAAACAAAAAUGCAGCCAGCAAGAGGCAGAAGGGGUUCCCCACAAAAGAACAAAGGGAACAGCAUGGGAACAGCAGAAAAUUCCUAUGGAAACGCUGUAACCUGCAAACAAUGAGAGCAGGUACCAGUGUGCAGCUGGGGCACAAUAAAACCCUCUACAAGCUGAGCCAAGAAUAAGCUUCUUAAAAAGUGCUAUACUUUGCUACUUAGAAAUGUUGCUCUUGUCCAAGUGUUUUGUAUUUGCCUCAGUGCAGUUCUUUUUUUUUUUUCUUUUUCUUUUAACUAAUUAGAGGUUUGUUAUAAACCAAAGGGGAUUUCUGGG